GCCCCCGAAAUGCUGGAAAGCGACAUAGUUGGGUCAAGCAGAGGGAAGUUGGGACAAUCUAUACACAUCACCAAAAGAACGUAAUAGUUGAUGCCGAUGCUGGUGGCAACAGAAGGAAAAUUGUAGCUUUUGUUGGUGGUCUUGAUCUGUGUGAUGGCCGAUAUGACACUCCUCAACAUCCGUUGUUCAGGACACUACAGACAAUUCAUAAAGAUGAUUUUCACAACCCCACUUUUACGGGAAACCUUUCAGGAUGUCCAAGAGAGCCUUGGCAU